UAUGGCCACAUCACGUUGAAAUAUCGGUUCACGUAAGAUCACCGAAGUUAAGCAACGUCGAGUUUGGUCAGUACCCAGAUGGGUGGCCGCUUGGGAUAUGCAGGUGGUGUA